UGCCAUGGCCAAGUGCUAUUUAAUAAGACUGAACGGGUGUCCGUUGCAAGGGACUCCGAAGAGCUGUGGCAAGGGGUGAAAAGCCAAUCUAACCUGGAGAUAGCUGGUCUUCUGCGAAACCCGUUUUAGCGGGUCGCCCAUUUAUUGAAAUUAAAUUCGUUACUAGACGGUACGGCACUGGAAGCCACGCAGCUUUUGCUGCAUAAUCGGGGGGCUGUCAUGGCUCUAUCGAUGGCUUCUAACCCCGGAAAUGUAUAGUAUACAAUGAUGGGCAAUCAGACGUAUCGUGAUAAGGCGAUUCGUCAAAAGGGCAACAGCCCAGAACAGGUGUGAAGGUCCCUAACAAGCUACUGAGUGAACACAAGGCAGUCCUCUCCAGUGUCUCUCCACAAAGUGGGCUUGGAAGCAGCCACCUUUUAGCGAUAGCGUAACAGCUCAGUGGUCUGAGCCUCCCUGUAAAAAGGGAAUAUUGCCUGGUGAGGGCGCCAAAAAUGUAACGGGUCUAUAGUAGUUGUCUCUCUGUUCCAGCUUUGGAUAUGGAGGGAGUGGCAGUUUCUUCACUGUCUCACCGAAACCCUGUCCUAGAUGUAAAAUUCUAGGGGUAGCAGAAUACCCAGCAAAUGGAAUGAAGCUUGCUCAUUGAGCCGGUGGACAUAGCUGGGCUAAGAAUGCCGACAUGAGUAGCCUAAAAGGAGGGUAAUUCCCUCUUCGCCGAAAGCAGAAGGGUUUCAUUUGUAAGGUCUAUACCUAGAUGAUUAAAGCAGCGGCCUCUAAGGUUCAGAGUAACAAAUUAGUUCCGAUGAGUAACUCUUCUAUAGGGCAGUAACCUUCCUUAUAAGUUUACCUUCAAGUAAUUAGAGGUAUACUUCAAAGAGUAAGGUUCGGGAAAGAGCCCUACAGAAUCAAUCUUAAAACCGUACCCUAAACCGACACAGGUCUGCAAGUAGAGCAUACUAAGGCGUAGAGAUAAUCGUCUUGAAGGAACUCGGCAAAAUGACCCCGUAACUUCGGGAGAAGGGGUGCCACUAAUAAGUGGCGGCACUAAACAGGGGGGCGCGACUGUUUACUUAAAACACCGGACUCUGCUAACACUAGCGUGGAUGUAUAGAGUCUGAUACCGCCCGAUGCUAGAUGAUCAACUAAGCCGUUU
rnacentral:rRNA from 1 species